rnacentral:rRNA from 1 species
AGUCGAACGGAGCGCCCGGACGGAGUAUUUCGGUAUGAAGACCAGGUGACUGAGUGGCGGACGGGUGAGUAACGCGUGGACAACCUGCCGUGUACAGGGGGAUAACAGCCGGAAACGGCUGCUAAUACCGCAUAUGCGCACAGUGCCGCAUGGCACAGGGCGGAAAGCCUAGAUCUUAUCUAGUACGGUACACGAUGGGUCCGCGUCUGAUUAGGUAGUUGGCGGGGUAACGGCCCACCAAGCCCACGAUCAGUAGCCGGCCUGAGAGGGCGGACGGCCACACUGGGACUGAGACACGGCCCAGACUCCUGCGGGAGGCAGCAGUGGGGAAUAUUGCACAAUGGGGGGAACCCUGAUGCAGCGACGCCGCGUGAAGGAAGAAGUAUCUCGGUAUGUAAACUUCUAUCAGCAGGGAAGAAAGAGGACGGUACCUGACUAAGAAGCCCCGGCUAACUACGUGCCAGCAGCCGCGGUAAUACGUAGGGGGCGAGCGUUAUCCGGAUUUACUGGGUGUAAAGGGAGCGUAGACGGCCAUGCAAGCUCGGUGUGAAAGGUGCGGGCACAACCCGCAGACUACACUGAGAACUGUAUGGCUGGAGUGCCGGAGGGGCAGGCGGAAUUCCUGGUGUAGCGGUGAAAUGCGUAGAUAUCAGGAGGAACACCGGUGGCGAAGGCGGCCUGCUGGACGGCGACUGACGUUG